GAAAAACAGAUGCAAUGGCAGACAACUGUCACACUGCAGAGAGUAAAACAGAGGUGCAUAUGAUAUAUGACACAUGCAUGAAUGAUAUUAAACAAAUAACAGACAAAACCACAUGAUUUAUAAUAUCGGACAUACUUAUCAGUCUCAAACAAGUCUCAGUGCAGAGGGGUUAACGGUUCCUUAUGGGUGAAGUUCUGUCUCACAUGGACAUACAGAUCACACAUUUUUUUUUCUGUUUGUCUUCCUCUGGGUGAACUUACAACAAGCUUUCCCAUUUACCGCAUACUGGGUGAAAUGUUUUUACCGUUUGUCUUUUCACGAGAAUACUGCGAUAUUGAGAUGUGACAGAAGUGUCAUUUUAAGCAGCCCCAGCAGUCAGAAGAGGCACCGUGCUGCAAGGAGAGUAAAGCCUUCCACAUUCGUAUCAUAGACUGUAUGGGAGUCCUUCACAGCUCUUCUUUUGGGAGGGGGUGGGGACAAAUACCUGUACAUCAUAUUUUAUCAGUUAUUUCCUGUUUUUAUCAUGUUUGAUCCUUUAGUUUUUUUUUUUUUUUACAAUUUUCUCUUCCUAAAUCUUCACAGGUAGACAUGACAGUAGAAUUAUGUCCAUGUAUAAAUAUUCCAUGUCACAUUGCAUUUUAUUUUAAUUGGUGACCUUCAUUCAAGUCCUUAAGAUCUUCGCCAAAGGUCAACUAUUGUUACUUUGUUCACAACUAUUCAAAAUUUUGUUUUUCUAAAGAUUCUGUGGUGUGUAAAAGGUCUCCAUGUCAGAUUUAUCUCUGCCUUUCUCCCUAAAAGAAACAGAAUCCUUAAUGACAUUUGCAAACAAAAGACAGUGAAGGUGGUAGUGGUUCUUGAGAAAAGCACCUUCUAAUGUUAUCAGGUUGCUGUGAAAAUGCCCAUGAUAAUAUGCGUGAUAACAGCAAAUAUCAUUCUUUCCACGGUUUUACAAUCUGUCAGAUAUGCUUUGAUGUAUGUAUGCCUAAUACAAUUAUCUAAUAGUCACAUCAUAUAUGUGAGAGUCGAUAAGACUGUGAUUAUUCAUUCUGCAUGGCUGUGAGACAUCUGAACCCUGUGUGCAGUGGCGAGAGGUAACUGAUUUUCUGCAUAAUACAGCCAUCUAGUGGC
ensembl:lncRNA